UGAGAAACCCAAAAGAUCGAAUGGGGAGAUUCAUCGUCAGCUCAUUUUGUAUAUGUACGAGUUAUGAUGCGNNAGUUACUCUCNNGNAGUAUUGCUNUGUACGUACUUGUGCAUUUAUUUGCAAAAUGUUGUCGGCGUGCACUUCUCCCCUAGUAGAACGUCGCGACCCGUUGGGUGUCGGUCUACGACCCGAGNUGGGAGCCUUUGAUAUUNNUUANNUAAUAUUAAAGACCCUUGGUGUUNUUCUGACCGGCUGCUCGGCGGUACUCGUACGGUAUUUAGCCGCAUNUUNANNNUUUGCGUUCAUGUCCGUCGCAAGCGAGGCUAAUUUCUGGUAGUNACGGACUUAGUGCCGUCGCUGGAGUUGGCCAGCUGUUGGUUGUNACG
rnacentral:rRNA from 1 species